rnacentral:sRNA from 1 species
CUUCGGUUGCUUCUGCUGAUGAAGUCGGAGCUGCUCGCUGAUGGGGUGUGGCGAUGCUUGGCAACGAUGACAAGUUGCAGUCUCUUCCAAGGAGUUGGUGCUGGCCGUGUGAAGGAAGUGUCUCUUUGGUGGCUUGGCUGAUGUCCAUUGUUGGAUGUCGGAGCUGCUUUUCGCUCUGGCGACUUUCACGGAUUCAGUGUCGCUGUGGUUUGUGAAGUCGGCGCUGCUGGGUCGCUUGGGCGGCUAGCUCGGCAACGAUAACACCUCUUCUGUGAUGUUGGAGCUGUUUGGGCCGCUUUUGUGUUUUAGCUUGGCAAUGAUGUUCUACAUUUAGACUCCGCCGUUGUUGCUAGUUGUGUAGCUAGAUCUCUUGCUUUCUUCUGUGUGGUGGGUUUUAGCCGGUUUCUCGCAAUUAACCGUGCAGUUGUAUGGUUUUCGGGCCCGGUUUUCCUUAUAAAUUGGGUCAAUUCUCUUCUUCUAAAUAUAAAAGUGGAACAAAGUUCCGCCUUAGGUUUC